rnacentral:pre_miRNA from 1 species
AUAAUACUCCCUCCGUCCGGAAUUACUUGUCAUCAAAAUGGAUGUGUCUAGAACUAAAAUACAUCUAGAUACAUCCAUUUCAAUGGCAAGUAUUUUCGGACGGAGCGAGUAGUAG